rnacentral:rRNA from 1 species
UACGAAGGGGGCUAGCGUUGCUCGGAAUCACUGGGCGUAAAGCGCACGUAGGCGGGUCUUUAAGUCAGGGGUGAAAUCCUGGAGCUCAACUCCAGAACUGCCUUUGAUACUGAGGAUCUCGAGUCCGGGAGAGGUGAGUGGAACUCCGAGUGUAGAGGUGAAAUUCGUAGAUAUUCGGAAGAACACCAGUGGCGAAGGCGGCUCACUGGCCCGGUACUGACGCUGAGACACGAAAGCGUGGGUAGCAAACAGG